GUCCCCCCAGUGCCUAGCAUCACCGGCAACAAGUUCAGCGCUGUCCGACAAGGUGUCCUGCAGGGACAACCUCCGUCGACCUGUCAUCGAACUUCAGUAUGCGUGCUUUGUUCUUUGAAACUGAAUUCAGACUUUGAGUACUACUUUUAUUUGAAAGAAAAUAUGUGCGUGAUUCCACAACUUAUGCCAAAAUGCAUUGCAUAGCUUGGUAUACACGAAUUGCAAUCUGAACGUUUUUCUCUGUGUCGUUGUCCUGCUUUCUGGUUCUAUGUUAUCUGUCAUCUUAUAUCUCUGCUUUCUGCUUUCUGGUGCCUAAACCGAACCGUCGAAUCUGUAAAUAUGUACCAGUACCAGUUUGAACCAGGGGAUGGUUGGUUGUUUAUGUGUGCUGUUAAUGAGUUCAUUCUGCUCUCUAACUCAUUGAAUUUUUGGAUGUCAAUCAACAAGCUUCCCCUGACUGACUGAUUGAUUGAUUUUUUUGGCUGGUGCUAGCUUAUGUGUCUUGUGUCGGGCGAGGGAGAGGGACGAUGUGCAUACGGGGUUGCAGUGCAGAGGCGCCAGUGGUUUCAAGUUGCAGGGCCGGGAGAAAUUUCACGGCAACCAGGAGUAACAAUAUUUUUGGUUACUUGGGAAUACGAUGAUGUUCUGGUGACGUGGAACAUGCUGAGAUUUGGACUUCAAUCCUUGAUUGUGCACGCGUAUGCAUGCUUCACACCCAUGCUGCAAAUAGAUUUUCAUUUUCGAAGAAAGGAUUUCCGAAACGAGUAGAAGACUAAUAACUUCUACGACAUCAAAGAUCUCUGAGAUUUUAGAUUGCAGGGCCGCCGCCGUUGCUGAACACAAACGGGGCUUGAAGCAGGCCAAUCUCCGAGGUGGACCGGGCAACGGAUCGUGGAGAGGCGCCCAAGGAUUUUUUUUUUGCUUCUAUUGAUUGUGCCAUCCAAUUGGUUUAGACUUUUCACCAUUGCUAAUUACUAGGGGCGUAUGGGUGCCGGACCUGGUAAGUGGCCUGCACGCUACGCUCUUGCCAAAUAAUUUGCAACCAUGCUUGCACUGAAUUUUUAUUUAUUUCCCGAUGUACCUUACAACAACUUCAUGAUGUAGCACUACUUUGCACUAGCAUGCACCUGCAGAUAUAAUAUGGAAAAUGACUGUCAUUUAGAAUUACUUCCAAGCUGCAUCGUCUAUCUGAAUGUCAGCCCGAAACCACUGGUUGGCACACAUAAAAUUUUGGAAGUUGUAUGUAGUCCUCCUUCUUUGAGCCAAACUUUAUGUCUAUGAUUGAUGAAUCAAUAUAAUUUUUUUGUUCAAGCUGGAUCCAAUAGAACAUGGCUUUGGUGGUAGUUCCCAGUACAUGUAGAAUUUCUAUCCUUCUAUAUGUGUACUGAAACAAUUUAAGGUCACUAUGUAGUAAAUUCAUCAUACUAUAUGUCCACGGAAACCACUUAAGGUCAAAAGUGACAAGUAGAACCACAUGCAUCGUUUUGGGUAGUCUAACUUGACUCUAUUACUUUUAUCUCAUAAAUCUAUGAUCGGUGCGUUUUUUACGUGGAAUAUAUUCCGGAGCGGUUGCUGGUGUUAGGGAUGCAUUUAUAUAUGGGAUAAUUGCAUUAGCUAUUUCAUACGAUUGGCAUGCAAGGAUUUUUCUUCUUUAGUAUAACUCUCUGUAUUUUUAUUGUUUCUUUUAUUGUUUCCAGAAUGCAUUUCCACAAUAGAGAUGGGAAAUGGAUACAUCGUUGUCGUCCUUCAGUGAGCAGCCGAGGAGGAGCUCCUCCAUGCUGAUGAUGUGGAAGACAGAUACCCUGUCCGCGACGCCUGGUUCUGGCCUCAUAUACAUUGACUUCCUAUGUCAUCAGCAAAUGCAGUGGAGAAGAAGCCGGUUCACCACAUGAUCAUUUAAUUUGUUAUUGUUUUUUAACUAUUCCCUGUUGCAUGUAUAAUCAGAAAAAAUAAAACUCCUCCUUUCGGCCCAUACUAGGAGUCUGGAAGUGAUACUUUUGUGAGGAGUGCUGGAACAUGACUCGAUCAAGCGAGACAGAGAACAAUGGAUGAAAGAACGAGAUCAGAAAAGGGAUUCACUCCUGACCACCUCAUACAUAUAUACAUAUCUCUUGUAGCUAUAUAGGGCUCUUUUCGUAUUCUAGGAAAUUUUAAAAUUAUAUUUUACUAGGGAUGUAAGUAUCAGAGGCUAGAUAUGUGAUCUAGAGAUUUUAGACUUUCAGGAUUCAACCAUCAGUUGUCUUCCUUGAAUAUUUAUUUAUUUUUGUAGGGCAAUAUGUUUUUUUAAUCCUUGAAGCGCCAUUCAGAACUUAUGAUCGUGGUUGUCAAAUUCCUGUGAAAUAUAUACCUUUGAUCUCAGUUUUAUAGGGAAAUUAACAUGAUCUCAUUUUUAUCAUGCUGACAAUAUAUUAUGUUAUACCUUUGAUUUUGGUAAUGGUAUGUUUUCCCAUGAUUGCUGCCAUUUUUUUGUCCUACAUGUGUCCGUGCGUUGGGAUAGUAUGAAGAAAAGUUGCAGCUAUCCAUACAUCAUUAUUUAUGGCAGAAGGGAAAUCUACUGAAUCACAGUCACAUUUCCUAAAACUCUCGAAUUCCAACUUAACGGUGUUGAUGACCAUGAUGAAACUGUGAAAUAUUAAGCGUGAAAAUAUUGUUGAUUUUGAUUUAAAAUGGCUAAAUUGGAGGAAAGCAUUUCUGCUACAUUCAUCGGCAAUACUGCACCAUAUACUAUAGAAGCUUGGGCCACUAAAUCAGCUGUUUCUAAUGGAUCUUCUUGGACUCAACAGUAUCAGUCUACUUCCCAGGCAUGUGGUUUAUUUUAUUCUUCAGCUCAAUGGAAAACCAUGGCAAGUUCUGUUUUACCUUUAGGGUGUUGUCAAAAUGAUUUCAAUGAGACCAAUUAAGUGAAUAGCCUAUGGAAAAAUGAUGACCUGUUGUUAAAAUGAAAUAAAAACAGAUAAACAGAAAAAUGGUGAUCUAUUGUUGAUUGUCUUCAACAGAAACAAACCUGUUCAUAGUUUUCUUGUGUUUUUUCUUUGAUGUGACUCUUUGCCUGACAUGUUGAUGUUACUAUGUAUCCCAUAUUGGAUUUCACAUAAGGAAUGUCCAUCCCUGAAGCACAACCUCGCGUACAUGGUUAAGUGGACCAGACUAAGUCCGGAAGAAGAUUGAAAAUUUCAAACAUGAGAAUGACAACUACAGGAAGACUAUAAGACUUUAUAUUGAUUCUUCUUGUAAAAUCACUAGAAACGCCUAGGGCCAACUUUAUAAUGAUUUUUUUCUAGACAGGAGCGCCAAGUGAUUGAGUCAUUCAUCGCUAUGGACGUGAAUAGCUGACAAGGGCUACCUUGAUCAGAAUCGCUCGAUAAACCAGUCCUUCCAGAAAGACAAGCAAAUCCUACCAGCAAAAUCAUAUUACAAAUAGACAGGACACAAGGCAUCCCAGACCACACAAGCAAGUAAAUGAUCGAUAUAGAGGUUUGAAUGAUUGAGCCAUACAAUAUGGGAAUACAUGCUACAUGCUAAACAAGUUAGACGGAUCAAAGUAAUGAUGGUCAAUAAAGACGGAAAAAUCAUGGCACGCAACAGACGAGUGAUCGAGUAUAAUGAACUUUUUAUAGUCAUGGAUUAGUCAUGUGUUAAACAAGUUCUGUUCAUGGAUUAGUUAUUAUCAAGCCUGCUGUUCUUUCUAUAGUCAUGUGCUAUUUUUUCAAUUGAACACAUUGAAGUUCCUAUAGAUUUUCAUGGUUUAUGCAAAAUAGCUGAGCCUGGUUGUUUUAUUCAUACAUAUUCAGGAUUGUUAGAGUCUAGAAUUCGUCGGUUUAUGUCGUGGAGAGAGCAGUAGUGUUGUUCAUCUUCUGGUUUUGAUAUAAUUACUAACAUUUAUUCAUUUUAAAGAUUAGUGGAUUAGUGCAUGCUAACAAACCCUGUACUGUCAAAGCAUUGUUCCAAUGUCUCUUAAAAUAUAUUUUUUCAUAGAGGGUCGUUCUGACAAGUGUGGUAGCAUGCUGAUCCAAUAAAAGACCGGCGAAGACAAGAUCAAGUUCCGCCACUUCUGCUUUGAAGAGAUUGCUACCAAGCUGUACCUCAGCCUCAAGGACAAGAAUGACUCCAGUUUGGGGUUCAACAUGCUGCUCGCAAAUCCUAAUACAAUAUUUGAGUCUCACCAUGUUGCUUCCAUUAUAAAAUGUGGCUUCGUGAUGGCAGUAUUGCCAACAUUGACCUCAUCGAGUCCACCUAGAUUAAUAAGCCUGGGAUCAAGGAUGCAGGUCCCUAUCACAUUCAGGCACAUAUAUCCUCAUAUGCAGUCUGAUAUAUUCAAUGGUAGAUCCACCAGGUAUACCAUCAAGGUUAAAAUCAACAUGAAUAACUCCUUUGUGUAGGGCUAAUAACUUCAGGUUCAGUGGGAGGGAAACAAUUGUGUAGAAUGCCCUAUCGUUUGAUGUGAUAUAUGCCCAAGAGAUUAGGAGUCCUUGAUUGUAAUAUGUGCCAAUUCUUAAAGAAAGCAAGGAGUGAAGUAGAAGCUUCACCAUUUGAGCACCAAGGACGUAUCAUUGACUACAAUGUUCAUCAGGUUGCUUAGAAGAGAUAUGAGCAAAAGUAUUAUCAUUUGUAAA